AAAGAGAAACCUGUGUGGUGACGGAUAUGUUAUUUAUCCUGAUGAGGGGAAUCCUUUUGCAAUGUAUCAAAUCAUGUCAUUGUAAAGAGAUAACACGUUUAUUUGGCAGUGAUGCCCUAUUAAAACUGGAAAAAUUCCCCCCCAAACCAAAAAAGAAGAAAAAAAUGUCAAACUCACAGAAACAGAGGAGAAUGGUGAUUGCCAGGAGCUGGGGGAAGAGGAAAGAGGGAGCUGCUGUCCGACAGGCACAAAGUUUCAGUCGUGCAAGAUGAGCAUCAGAAGAGAUCACAUCCAUGUGCUUAGAGAACGUCACGUGUGCUCUGCGUCCUCCACGUAGGCAGGGCGGGAUGGCUGAAGUGGGCUGGAGUCCCCACAGGUGGCUGGAGAUGCUCAUGUUCUAUCCCAGGACCAACAAACAGAACCAGAAGAAGAAGCAGAAAGUUGAGCCACCCACGCCACAGCAUUAUACACAAUAGCCAAGACAUGGAAGCAACCUAGGUGCCCAUCAAGGGACAAAUGGAUAAAGAAGAUGUGACUGUGCUUUGUGACCUGCCUUUGCCUGGAGGAGUCACACCUUGCAUGCUGAUAACAAUUCUGGGCACAGUGAAGCGCAAUGCAAACAGGCUUGCUUGAGAUUUCAAGAGAGGGCAUGAUGUCGCCUUCCACUGUAACCCGCGCUUCAGUAAGAACAACAGGGGAGCCAUUGUUUGCAUUACAAAGCUGGAUAAUAUCUGGGGAAAGGAAGAAAGACAGGCAGAUUUCCCCUUUGAAAGUGGUAAACCAAAACAGUUUCUGAGGGAAGAACCAUCAACAGCUUUUACUGAUUGCUGGAAGAACGCAGCAAUCAGUGGAUGAGAAAGGAAAGUCUGAGUGAGUUCUACUUUCUUUAAGUCUCCAAAUGGACACUUAAGGGGGAAAAUGCUGAUCCAGAGCAAUGGCUGACAGUGUUCCGGAUUAAGUGAGAGCCUAUUCAUCCUCUAAACAUGUAAGACUGAUUGGGAAACAGCUCUAUAUUUGUUUUCUAGAAAGACUCCACAGUUUAUACUUG
rnacentral:lncRNA from 1 species